ACAGGCUAAUUAUUCUGAAGACUUUCCUCCAGUGUGGGUUUUUCUGAUUGGAUUUGGGCUUUGCACUUUUGGUGGGAUUUUCACAGAAGUGAUGCUGUGUCUGUAGUGUGUCAUCUGUCCUACUCCUGGAGAUGCUUUGGUCCCCCUGUCUCCUGUGUUCUUUUGACACAUUCCUAGCAUUCUUUAGGCAUUUGCUUCCUUUCCAGCAUAGCAAGGUGUUCCAGGCUUAUUCUGUAAUUUCCCCAGUCCCAGCCCUGGAACCAGUCAUGUUUCUGGGGAGCCCCAGAACCUUCUGGUGGAGCAUGGCACUCAGGAAACAAGAUGUGGUCAUUGGUUACUCUCAUGGCUGGGGUAGGAAAUAGUACCCCAUGUCUAUUUCCUUAUUGGUCUAUAAACAUAUUAAAAUCCAUGAGUUUACACUGAUACUUCCAAUUUCAAAACAACACAAGAGUCAUUCUUUCCCUUUUUCAUAUUUGCAAUUCCCUUGCUUGACAGAAACCUGGCUCCAUUAUCCAUAAUAUGCUUAUUUGCUCAAUCCUAGAGUACACACAAAGCACCUUCGGCAUCGCUCACCUACGCUGGUGAAAAACAAGGCUAGUAACAAGCGUUUAUUUGUUUAGAUUCUUUUUUGUCUCUAGUCUGAGGGCAUACAGUCAAAAUAAGGUGUUUAAAAUUUACUUGGGUGUCUCUCCCCCUUCGUUGUGGAUAUGCAAUUCAUGCACAAUACGGUUCCGUUCAUAGACUCCACUUUUAUUUCCCUACCCUUGUUUACUUUUGUUUGUGCAAUAUGUUAACAUGGUUCCCCAAUCAGAACUUCCCAAAAGGUACAAAAGUUACAGCUCCUCUCCACCCCCAUGACCAAUCUCUUUAGUCUCCGAUUUCUCCUUCCUGUGUUUCUUUUCGUACAAGAGUAAGAUACGUGUGUAUUUUAUUUCCCCUUCUUUCUUCCACAAAAGGUAGCACACUGUACUCUUGCAUGUUGUUUUUCCAUUAAUAAUAUAUCCUGGAAACCACUCCGCAUCAGCUGAGUUCUUCCUUAUUCUACUAUUAUGGUAGCUAUCAUCAUUUACAACUGUCUUACAUUCCACCGUGUGCAAGUGUCAUUUUAUAUUUGACUAUUUCACUUGAGACUCUUCAGGCUGUCCUGUAGCUUUUGCAGUUACAAACGAGGCUGCAACAAAUACUCCGUGCACACAUAUUGUCUUUUCCCAUCAGUGUAUCUUUAGGGUAUAAUCCUAAAAGUGGGAUUGCUAAAUCAAAAGAAGUAUAUUUUUUAUUAGUGUUCAAUGCCCCUCGGUAAGGGAUGUGCAAACCUGCACUCUCACCAGCAACAAAUGAGGGUGCCCGCAAUGCCACAGCCACACCAAGAGAACGUGCAGUCACACUUUGAUUAUUGCCGAGCUGAAUGAUGAGAAAUGGUAUCUGUGUAGCUUUCAUUUGCAUUUCUCUUGAGUGAGGUCAAGCUUAUGUUUCAAGAUCUAAUUUACUUAUGAAUUCUAUCUUUUGCCCACUUUUCUAUUGGAUAUUUGGUAUUCUCAAUCUUUAACAGUCCUUCGCAUAUCAGGGAUAUUAGCCCAUUAUCUGUGAGAAAUUUUCUUCCACUGUGUCAUUUGCCUUUGACCUCAUUUGUAGUGUUUUAUCCUCAUAGAAAAGUUCUGUUGUGUUACCUUUUCAUGUGGUUAAACUGAUUAAUCUGAAAUCUCCUCUGGAUUUUGAGUCCUAGAAAAUCUUCCCCAACAGCCAUGUCAAAGACAUUCAUCCAUGUGUUUUGUAGUACUUGUAUGGUUUCCGUUUUUACAUUUAGAUCCCUCAUCUGUUUGUUUAUUCUUGUGUAUGCUCUGAGUUAUGAAUUAACUAUCUUUUGCCAAAUUUUAACCAGCUGUCCUGCACUAUUU